GGCUCUCAGGCAGAGGCUCCACAAGAAGUGGAGUGCUGCGGCAGCUCUCCCCCGUGUUGUAAGCGCUGGUGCUAUCUUUGUCUGAUUUCUCUGGCAGUUCAGAGAUAUCAGACAGCUCAUGCUUUUUGGGCUCACUGGCUGCCAGGUCAUAGAGACUUUCCUCCUCCAGCAGCCAGGCCUUCAUACAGCGCUCCCGCAACUGCUGCAUCUUCUGUGCCCGCAAGAUAUUGCGGCACUUGAACUCUAGGUGCCGAAGCUCUUCCUCCAGCAUGGCCAUCUCAUGGCCUAGGCUCUCAUUGCGGUUGACAUCUAGGGCACUGUUGCCACUGGAGGCCCGGGAGAAGAAGAUGCCCAGCUGGUUGCCAUUUUCCAGGUGGCACUUGAUCUCCAGCAGCUCCCGGUAGCGUUCAUACUCCUCAUCAGUGAGCCCAGCUGCAUGGAGGUAUUGGUUAAAUCCAGAAGAAGGUAUUAGAUCCUCUGGAACUGGAGUUAGAGGUGGUUGUGAGACAUCUAUGUGAUUUCUGGGAACUGAACUUGGGUCCUUUGAAGAAGCAGUAAGAAUCAUCCUCCUAAAACACUUCCCACAUGCAUACUCCCCUUUAAAACAGUUUCACUAUGUAGCUCUAAUGAACCACAAGCUCCU
ensembl:processed_transcript Gm14817 predicted gene 14817